rnacentral:tRNA from 1 species
CAGGACAUGGCUCAGUGGUAGAGUACAGGGCUUGCCUCUCUGAGGCCUCAGGUUUGCUCCCUGAUGCCAUAU